rnacentral:rRNA from 1 species
AGAGUUUGAUCCUGGCUCAGGACGAACGCUGGCGGCGUGCCUAACACAUGCAAGUCGAGCGAUGAAGUUUCCUUCGGGAAACGGAUUAGCGGCGGACGGGUGAGUAACACGUGGGUAACCUGCCUUAUAGUGGGGGAUAGCCUUUCGAAAGGAAGAUUAAUACCGCAUAAGAUUGUAGUAUCGCAUGAUAUAGCAAUUAAAGGAGCAAUCCGCUAUAAGAUGGACCCGCGUCGCAUUAGCUAGUUGGUGAGGUAAUGGCUCACCAAGGCGACGAUGCGUAGCCGACCUGAGAGGGUGAUCGGCCACAUUGGGACUGAGACACGGCCCAGACUCCUACGGGAGGCAGCAGUGGGGAAUAUUGCACAAUGGGCGAAAGCCUGAUGCAGCAACGCCGCGUGAGUGAUGACGGCCUUCGGGUUGUAAAACUCUGUCUUCAGGGACGAUAAUGACGGUACCUGAGGGGGAAGCCACGGCUAACUACGU